rnacentral:rRNA from 1 species
UUAAGCGACUAAGCGUACACGGUGGAUGCCCUGGCAGUCAGAGGCGAUGAAGGACGUGCUAAUCUGCGAAAAGCGUCGGUAAGGUGAUAUGAACCGUUAUAGCCGGCGAUGUCCGAAUGGGGAAACCCAGUGCAAUUCGUUGCACUAUCGUUAACUGAAUACAUAGGUUAACGAGGCGAACCGGGGGAACUGAAACAUCUAAGUACCCCGAGGAAAAGAAAUCAACCGAGAUUCCCCCAGUAGCGGCGAGCGAACGGGGAGCAGCCCAGAGUCUGAAUCAGCUUGUGUGUUAGUGGAACGGUCUGGAAAGUCCGACGGUACAGGGUGAUAGUCCCGUACACCAAAAUGCACAGGCUGUGAACUCGAAGAGUAGGGCGGGACACGUGGUAUCCUGUCUGAAUAUGGGGGGACCAUCCUCCAAGGCUAAAUACUCCUGACUGACCGAUAGUGAACCAGUACCGUGAGGGAAAGGCGAAAAGAACCCCGGCGAGGGGAGUGAAAAAGAACCUGAAACCGUGUACGUACAAGCAGUGGGAGCACCUUCGGGUGUGACUGCGUACCUUUUGUAUAAUGGGUCAGCGACUUAUAUUCUGUAGCAAGGUUAACCGUAUAGGGGAGCCGCAGGGAAACCGAGUCUUAACUGGGCGUUAAGUUGCAGGGUAUAGACCCGAAACCCGGUGAUCUAGCCAUGGGCAGGUUGAAGGUUGGGUAACACUAACUGGAGGACCGAACCGACUAAUGUUGAAAAAUUAGCGGAUGACUUGUGGCUGGGGGUGAAAGGCCAAUCAAACCGGGAGAUAGCUGGUUCUCCCCGAAAGCUAUUUAGGUAGCGCCUCGUGAACUCAUCUUCGGGGGUAGAGCACUGUUUCGGCUAGGGGGUCAUCCCGACUUACCAACCCGAUGCAAACUACGAAUACCGAAGAAUGUUAUCACGGGAGACACACGGCGGGUGCUAACGUCCGUCGUGAAGAGGGAAACAACCCAGACCGCCAGCUAAGGUCCCAAAGUCAUGGUUAAGUGGGAAACGAUGUGGGAAGGCACAGACAGCCAGGAUGUUGGCUUAGAAGCAGCCAUCAUUUAAAGAAAGCGUAAUAGCUCACUGGUCGAGUCGGCCUGCGCGGAAGAUGUAACGGGGCUAAACCAUGCACCGAAGCUGCGGCAGCGACACUAUGUGUUGUUGGGUAGGGGAGCGUUCUGUAAGCCUGCGAAGGUGACCUGUGAGGGUUGCUGGAGGUAUCAGAAGUGCGAAUGCUGACAUAAGUAACGAUAAAGCGGGUGAAAAGCCCGCUCGCCGGAAGACCAAGGGUUCCUGUCCAACGUUAAUCGGGGCAGGGUGAGUCGACCCCUAAGGCGAGGCCGAAAGGCGUAGUCGAUGGGAAACAGGUUAAUAUUCCUGUACUUGGUGUUACUGCGAAGGGGGGACGGAGAAGGCUAUGUUAGCCGGGCGACGGUUGUCCCGGUUUAAGCAUGUAGGCUGGUUAUCCAGGCAAAUCCGGAUAAUCAAGGCUGAGGUGUGAUGACGAGGCACUACGGUGCUGAAGUAACAAAUGCCCUGCUUCCAGGAAAAGCCUCUAAGCAUCAGGUAACAUUAAAUCGUACCCCAAACCGACACAGGUGGUCAGGUAGAGAAUACCAAGGCGCUUGAGAGAACUCGGGUGAAGGAACUAGGCAAAAUGGUGCCGUAACUUCGGGAGAAGGCACGCUGGUGUGUAGGUGAAGUCCCUGCGGAUGGAGCUGAGACCAGUCGAAGAUACCAGCUGGCUGCAACUGUUUAUUAAAAACACAGCACUGUGCAAACACGAAAGUGGACGUAUACGGUGUGACGCCUGCCCGGUGCCGGAAGGUUAAUUGAUGGGGUUAUCCGUAAGGAGAAGCUCUUGAUCGAAGCCCCGGUAAACGGCGGCCGUAACUAUAACGGUCCUAAGGUAGCGAAAUUCCUUGUCGGGUAAGUUCCGACCUGCACGAAUGGCGUAAUGAUGGCCAGGCUGUCUCCACCCGAGACUCAGUGAAAUUGAACUCGCUGUGAAGAUGCAGUGUACCCGCGGCAAGACGGAAAGACCCCGUGAACCUUUACUAUAGCUUGACACUGAACAUUGAGCCUUGAUGUGUAGGAUAGGUGGGAGGCUUUGAAGCGUGGACGCCAGUCUGCGUGGAGCCAACCUUGAAAUACCACCCUUUAAUGUUUGAUGUUCUAACGUUGGCCCCUGACCGGGGUUGCGGACAGUGUCUGGUGGGUAGUUUGACUGGGGCGGUCUCCUCCCAAAGCGUAACGGAGGAGCACGAAGGUUAGCUAAUCCUGGUCGGACAUCAGGAGGUUAGUGCAAUGGCAUAAGCUAGCUUGACUGCGAGCGUGACGGCGCGAGCAGGUGCGAAAGCAGGUCAUAGUGAUCCGGUGGUUCUGAAUGGAAGGGCCAUCGCUCAACGGAUAAAAGGUACUCCGGGGAUAACAGGCUGAUACCGCCCAAGAGUUCAUAUCGACGGCGGUGUUUGGCACCUCGAUGUCGGCUCAUCACAUCCUGGGGCUGAAGUAGGUCCCAAGGGUAUGGCUGUUCGCCAUUUAAAGUGGUACGCGAGCUGGGUUUAGAACGUCGUGAGACAGUUCGGUCCCUAUCUGCCGUGGGCGCUGGAGAAUUGAGGGGGGCUGCUCCUAGUACGAGAGGACCGGAGUGGACGCAUCACUGGUGUUCGGGUUGUCAUGCCAAUGGCACUGCCCGGUAGCUAAAUGCGGAAGAGAUAAGUGCUGAAAGCAUCUAAGCACGAAACUUGCCCCGAGAUGAGUUCUCCCUGAGACUUUAAGUCUCCUGAAGGAACGUUGAAGACGACGACGUUGAUAGGCCGGGUGUGUAAGCGCAGCGAUGCGUUGAGCUAACCGGUACUAAUGAACCGUGAGGCUUAACCUU